UACAGAGGGUGCGAGCGUUGUCCGGAAUCAUUGGGCGUAAAGCGCGCGUAGGUGGCCUCAUAAGUCCGCUGUGAAAGUCAAAGGCUCAACCUUUGAAAGCCGGUGGAUACUGUGGGGCUAGAGUACGGAAGAGGCGAGUGGAAUUCCUGGUGUAGCGGUGGAAUGCGCAGAUAUCAGGAGGAACACCAAUAGCGAAGGCAGCUCGCUGGGACGUUACUGACACUGAGGCGCGAAAGCGUGGGGAGCGAACAGG
rnacentral:rRNA from 1 species